UUUUUUAUAGUUUAAAAAAAACAUUAUAUUUUCAAUGUAAAAUUAGAUUAAAUCUUAAAAAUA
rnacentral:tRNA from 1 species